AUUCACUACAAACAUCUCAAAAUUACAACGAGUAAAUACGAUAGAAGUACAUCAACUGACUCCACGUCGACGAUCUGUCCGCCCUGCGACUGCGCAUCGUGUUUCACAACGAUGUCAUCCUUAACUUCGAAGAGAGACAAAAUCUGCUGAAGAUCUGUUUUCUGUAAUAAACAAUCCAAAUGGAUUUUUGAUGUAUUAUUGUUUUUUUAAGAUCUUUAUUCUGUAAUAAACACCUCAGAUGAAUGUUUGGUGUAUUAUUUUCUCUUGUUUCUAGGAAUCCGUAGUCAGGAACGUGUAUCC